GGGUUGUGAGGUUAAGCGACUAAGCGUACACGGUGGAUGCCCUGGCAGUCAGAGGCGAUGAAGGACGUGCUAAUCUGCGAAAAGCGUCGGUAAGGUGAUAUGAACCGUUACAGCCGGCGAUGUCCGAAUGGGGAAACCCAGUGCAAUUCGUUGCACUAUCGUUAACUGAAUACAUAGGUUAACGAGGCGAACCGGGGGAACUGAAACAUCUAAGUACCCCGAGGAAAAGAAAUCAACCGAGAUUCCCCCAGUAGCGGCGAGCGAACGGGGAGCAGCCCAGAGUCUGAAUCAGCUUGUGUGUUAGUGGAACGGUCUGGAAAGUCCGACGGUACAGGGUGAUAGUCCCGUACACCAAAAUGCACAGGCUGUGAACUCGAAGAGUAGGGCGGGACACGUGGUAUCCUGUCUGAAUAUGGGGGGACCAUCCUCCAAGGCUAAAUACUCCUGACUGACCGAUAGUGAACCAGUACCGUGAGGGAAAGGCGAAAAGAACCCCGGCGAGGGGAGUGAAAAAGAACCUGAAACCGUGUACGUACAAGCAGUGGGAGCACCUUCGGGUGUGACUGCGUACCUUUUGUAUAAUGGGUCAGCGACUUAUAUUCUGUAGCAAGGUUAACCGUAUAGGGGAGCCGCAGGGAAACCGAGUCUUAACUGGGCGUUAAGUUGCAGGGUAUAGACCCGAAACCCGGUGAUCUAGCCAUGGGCAGGUUGAAGGUUGGGUAACACUAACUGGAGGACCGAACCGACUAAUGUUGAAAAAUUAGCGGAUGACUUGUGGCUGGGGGUGAAAGGCCAAUCAAACCGGGAGAUAGCUGGUUCUCCCCGAAAGCUAUUUAGGUAGCGCCUCGUGAACUCAUCUUCGGGGGUAGAGCACUGUUUCGGCUAGGGGGUCAUCCCGACUUACCAACCCGAUGCAAACUACGAAUACCGAAGAAUGUUAUCACGGGAGACACACGGCGGGUGCUAACGUCCGUCGUGAAGAGGGAAACAACCCAGACCGCCAGCUAAGGUCCCAAAGUCAUGGUUAAGUGGGAAACGAUGUGGGAAGGCACAGACAGCCAGGAUGUUGGCUUAGAAGCAGCCAUCAUUUAAAGAAAGCGUAAUAGCUCACUGGUCGAGUCGGCCUGCGCGGAAGAUGUAACGGGGCUAAACCAUGCACCGAAGCUGCGGCAGCGACACUAUGUGUUGUUGGGUAGGGGAGCGUUCUGUAAGCCUGCGAAGGUGACCUGUGAGGGUUGCUGGAGGUAUCAGAAGUGCGAAUGCUGACAUAAGUAACGAUAAAGCGGGUGAAAAGCCCGCUCGCCGGAAGACCAAGGGUUCCUGUCCAACGUUAAUCGGGGCAGGGUGAGUCGACCCCUAAGGCGAGGCCGAAAGGCGUAGUCGAUGGGAAACAGGUUAAUAUUCCUGUACUUGGUGUUACUGCGAAGGGGGGACGGAGAAGGCUAUGUUAGCCGGGCGACGGUUGUCCCGGUUUAAGCAUGUAGGCUGGUUAUCCAGGCAAAUCCGGAUAAUCAAGGCUGAGGUGUGAUGACGAGGCACUACGGUGCUGAAGUAACAAAUGCCCUGCUUCCAGGAAAAGCCUCUAAGCAUCAGGUAACAUUAAAUCGUACCCCAAACCGACACAGGUGGUCAGGUAGAGAAUACCAAGGCGCUUGAGAGAACUCGGGUGAAGGAACUAGGCAAAAUGGUGCCGUAACUUCGGGAGAAGGCACGCUGGUGUGUAGGUGAAGUCCCUGCGGAUGGAGCUGAGACCAGUCGAAGAUACCAGCUGGCUGCAACUGUUUAUUAAAAACACAGCACUGUGCAAACACGAAAGUGGACGUAUACGGUGUGACGCCUGCCCGGUGCCGGAAGGUUAAUUGAUGGGGUUAUCCGUAAGGAGAAGCUCUUGAUCGAAGCCCCGGUAAACGGCGGCCGUAACUAUAACGGUCCUAAGGUAGCGAAAUUCCUUGUCGGGUAAGUUCCGACCUGCACGAAUGGCGUAAUGAUGGCCAGGCUGUCUCCACCCGAGACUCAGUGAAAUUGAACUCGCUGUGAAGAUGCAGUGUACCCGCGGCAAGACGGAAAGACCCCGUGAACCUUUACUAUAGCUUGACACUGAACAUUGAGCCUUGAUGUGUAGGAUAGGUGGGAGGCUUUGAAGCGUGGACGCCAGUCUGCGUGGAGCCAACCUUGAAAUACCACCCUUUAAUGUUUGAUGUUCUAACGUUGGCCCCUUACCGGGGUUGCGGACAGUGUCUGGUGGGUAGUUUGACUGGGGCGGUCUCCUCCCAAAGCGUAACGGAGGAGCACGAAGGUUAGCUAAUCCUGGUCGGACAUCAGGAGGUUAGUGCAAUGGCAUAAGCUAGCUUGACUGCGAGCGUGACGGCGCGAGCAGGUGCGAAAGCAGGUCAUAGUGAUCCGGUGGUUCUGAAUGGAAGGGCCAUCGCUCAACGGAUAAAAGGUACUCCGGGGAUAACAGGCUGAUACCGCCCAAGAGUUCAUAUCGACGGCGGUGUUUGGCACCUCGAUGUCGGCUCAUCACAUCCUGGGGCUGAAGUAGGUCCCAAGGGUAUGGCUGUUCGCCAUUUAAAGUGGUACGCGAGCUGGGUUUAGAACGUCGUGAGACAGUUCGGUCCCUAUCUGCCGUGGGCGCUGGAGAAUUGAGGGGGGCUGCUCCUAGUACGAGAGGACCGGAGUGGACGCAUCACUGGUGUUCGGGUUGUCAUGCCAAUGGCACUGCCCGGUAGCUAAAUGCGGAAGAGAUAAGUGCUGAAAGCAUCUAAGCACGAAACUUGCCCCGAGAUGAGUUCUCCCUGAGACUUUAAGUCUCCUGAAGGAACGUUAAAGACGAUGACGUUGAUAGGCCGGGUGUGUAAGCGCAGCGAUGCGUUGAGCUAACCGGUACUAAUGAACCGUGAGGCUUAACCUUACAACGCCGAAG
rnacentral:rRNA from 1 species